rnacentral:lncRNA from 13 species
AUGCUUGAAUUCCAAGAGGUGACCUGCUGCCGGGGGGCCUGGUGGCAGGCACUGCACUCACACACCAGGGGAUGGAUGCAGACAGAGGGGCAGCACUUGGACCUGGCGGGCGGCGGGACUGACCAUUGGGCCAGGGACAGGCCGGGGCGCCACGAGGCUGUCUGCUGCAGAAUAAAAAUGCCACUAUUCCUCUAAUUGCU